rnacentral:lncRNA from 1 species
AAGCUUGAAGGUUUCCAGGACAUCACUCAAACCUGAGCAUGGACAUACAUAGUUAUACUUAUGGGAGCUGAGAGGAUUAAAGCCUAGGAACUGUCACACUGAAAUACAGACCUGGACUGCCUUGAGUAAAAAAAGAACUCCGUUAACUGACAACUCCAUCACCCCAUCAGACAGUGUGGCAGGGACAUUUCCCCUUCACCCUUUUGCAGGAUGCUGUAUCACCUUCAGACCCAAGGAACAUCACUAAUAAUGCGUGCUAAUUCUGUUCCAUCUUCUGAGAGACACUGUCUCACCGACAUUAAAUCGGAGAGUUACACUAACAGCACCAAUUGUAAACUGACUAGGUCACUGCAAUAUUUGUUAUAUGCUCUUGAGAACCUCA